rnacentral:rRNA from 1 species
UCCUACGGGAGGCAGCAGUGGGGAAUAUUGGACAAUGGGCGAAAGCCUGAUCCAGCAAUGCCGCGUGAGUGAUGAAGGCCUUAGGGUCGUAAAGCUCUUUUACCCGGGAUGAUAAUGACAGUACCGGGAGAAUAAGCUCCGGCUAACUCCGUGCCAGCAGCCGCGGUAAUACGGAGGGAGCUAGCGUUGUUCGGAAUUACUGGGCGUAAAGCGUACGUAGGCGGUUAUUCAAGUCAGAGGUGAAAGCCCGGGGCUCAACCCCGGAACUGCCUUUGAAACUAGAUGACUAGAAUCUUGGAGAGGUCAGUGGAAUUCCGAGUGUAGAGGUGAAAUUCGUAGAUAUUCGGAAGAACACCAGUGGCGAAGGCGACUGACUGGACAAGUAUUGACGCUGAGGUACGAAAGCGUGGGGAGCAAACAGGAUUAGAUACCCUGGUAGUCCACGCUGUAAACGAUGUGUGCUUGAUGUUGGGGUGCUUAGCACUUCAGUGUCGGAGCUAACGCGGUAAGCACAC